rnacentral:rRNA from 1 species
AUGGUGCCUGAAGGUUGCAUGGAAUUUGACAAUGAAGAUAAAGCAUAUGAAUUCUAUAACAGGUAUGCUGGACACAUGGGCUUUAGUGUUGGUAAGAGUUCAUCGGACAAAUCAGCUGACAACAUCACAAGAUCAAGAACUUUUGUAUGCUCGAGGGAGGGUUUCCGUAAGGACAAGAAAGGAGCUAAUGAAGUUAAAAGACCACGGCCAGAAACAAGAAUAGGGUGCCCCGCACGGAUGAUUAUUAGGAUUACAUGCUAUAAUAAAUAUCGCAUUGCUGAAUUUGUAGCAGACCAUAACCAUCAGCCAGCACCUCUCAUCAACCAUGCAUUGCUUGGAGCGGCCGCCGGAAGGGACGGCGGGAGUAGGGAUUCAGGGAGAUUCGCGGCGGGAGCACCUGGAGAGCGAGACGUCGGAGAGGGAGGUGGUGGAGAGGCGGUUGCGCUCCUUCUGCAGCGCGAGCUCGGUGAGGCGGAAGCCCUUGCGGUGCAGGUACUGCUGCACCUUCCUCUCCAUCUCCUCGUCCUCCAUCGCUGGCUCGCUCGCUCGCCGGCCGGCUGCCGCGCCGGGGAGGGAGGGAGGGCGCCCUAG